GACAGAGGUGCCAAGCGUUAGGCGGAAUCACUGGGCUUAAAGCGUGUGUAGGCGGAUCGUUAAGUGUCUUGUGAAAUCCCACGGCUCACCCGUGGAACUGCUGGGCAUACUGGCGAUCUUGGGCCAACUAGGGGCAGCCGGAACAAGCGGUGGAGCGGUGAAAUGCGUAGAUAUCGCUUGGAACGCCAAAGGUGAAAACAGGCUGCUGGGGUUGUGCCGACGCUGAGACACGAAAGCCAGGGGAGCAAACGGG
rnacentral:rRNA from 1 species